CCUACGGGAGGCAGCAGUAGGGAAUCUUUCACAAUGGGCGAAAGCCUGAUGGAGCAACGCCGCGUGCAGGAUGAAGACCUUCGGGUUGUAAACUGCUUUUAUAAGCGAGAAAUAUGAUGGUAACUUAUGAAUAAGGAUCGGCUAACUACGUGCCAGCAGCCGCGGUCAUACGUAGGAUCCGAGCAUUAUCCGGAGUGACUGGGUGUAAAGAGUUGCGUAGGUGGCAUAAUAAGUAGCUAGUGAAAUCUGGUGGCUCAACCAUUCAGACUAUUAGCUAAACUGUUAAGCUCGAGACCGUUAGGGGUAACUGGAAUUUCUAGUGUAGGAGUGAAAUCCGUAGAUAUUAGAAGGAACACCAAUAGCGUAGGCAGGUUGCUGGGACGGUUCUGACACUAAGGCACGAAAGCGUAGGGAGCAAACGGGAUUAGAUACCCGUGUAGUC
rnacentral:rRNA from 1 species